rnacentral:rRNA from 1 species
GACAGAGGGUGCAAACGUUGUUCGGAAUUACUGGGCGUAAAGCGAGUGUAGGCGGUUUCGUAAGUCGGAUGUGAAAGCCCCGGGCUCAACCCGGGAAGUGCACUCGAUACUGCGAGGCUAGAGUAUCGGAGAGGUUGGUGGAAUUCUCGGUGUAGAGGUGAAAUUCGUAGAUAUCGGGAGGAACACCAGUGGCGAAGGCGGCGACCUGGGCCAAUAUUGACGCUGAGGUGCGAAAGCGUGGGGAGCAAACAGU